rnacentral:rRNA from 1 species
AUGGAAUUUGUAGAGGACCUCACCGCGGUCUCCUCGGAUAUUCCCGGGCCUUGGAUUGCUAUUGGGGAUUUCAAUCUGAUUAGGGCUCCUCGUGAGAAGAGUAACAAUAACUUUGAUGCUUCGAGGGCCGCUGUCUUCAACUCUCUCAUCAACUCCCUGGCCUUGCAUGAGCUGGCCCUGACGGAUCGCCGUUUCACAUGGACGAACCGAAGGGAUCCGCCGACUCUUGCCCGCCUAGACAGGGCCUUAUUUGACAAUGAUUGGGGGGAGUCUUUCCCGGACUCGGCUCUUUCCUCACGCCCCCGACCUACCUCUGAUCACGCCCCCCUUGUUGUCACUGCGUCCACCCGAAUUCCCAAACCGGCUCGCUUCUUCUUCGAGAACUCCUGGUUGCUGAACCCUCGCUUCCUCCCCACUACCAUCCCUUCUUGGACAGGCGCGGCGCCCGGGCGCUGCGCGGCGGGGCGGCUCGCUGCACGUAAGAAGAAGUUUCGGUCUGCGGCCAAGGUUUGGAAACGGCAACACAAAUACAUCCCUACCUAUGAUAAUGAUUGCAAAUUUGUGGUUGACCUCCUGGAUUUCUUGGAAGAGUCCAGAUGUCUGUCUACAGAUGAAGCGCUGCUGCGGAGUGAUGCUCGUAGCUGCCUUGCCGCGUCCAUCAAGAGGCAGAGUGCGCACUGGAAGCAGCGGGGGAAGUGCCGUGCGGUUCGAGAAGGCGAUGAGAAUACCAAGUUCUUCCACGCCAGUGCCUCCUAG